AACGAACGCUGGCGGCAGGCUUAACACAUGCAAGUCGAACGGGCGUAGCAAUACGUCAGUGGCAGACGGGUGAAUAACACGUGGGAACCUUCCUCGUAGUACGGAACAACUCAGGGAAACUUGAGCUAAUACCGUAUACGUCCGAAAGGAGAAAGAUUUAUCGCUAUGAGACGGGCCCGCGUCCGAUUAGCUCGUUGGUGGGGUAACGGCCUACCAAGGCAACGAUCGGUAGCUGAUCUGAGAGGAUGAUCAGCCACACUGGGACUGAGACACGGCCCAGACUCCUACGGGAGGCAGCAGUGGGGAAUCUUGGACAAUGGGCGAAAGCCUGAUCCAGCCAUGCCGCGUGAGUGAAGAAGGCCUUAGGGUUGUAAAGCUCUUUUGGCAGGGACGAUAAUGACGGUACCUGCAGAAUAAGCCCCGGCAAACUUCGUGCCAGCCGCCGCAGUAACAC
rnacentral:rRNA from 1 species